rnacentral:rRNA from 1 species
UCGAGAAUUUUUCACAAUGAGCGAAAGCUUGAUGGAGCGACGCCGCGUGGGGGAUGAAUGGCUUCGGCCCGUAAACCCCUGUCAUUUGGGAACAAACCCUCAUGUCUAACACAUGUGAGGCUGAUAGUACCGGAAGAGGAAGGGACGGCUAACUCUGUGCCAGCAGCCGCGGUAAUACAGAGGUCCCAAGCGUUGUUCGGAUUCACUGGGCGUAAAGGGUGCGUAGGCGGUCGGGUAAGUCUGAUGUGAAAUCUCCAGGCUCAACUUGGAAACUGCAUUGGAUACUAUUCGGCUAGAGGAAUGGAGGGGGGACUGGAAUUCUCGGUGUAGCAGUGAAAUGCGUAGAUAUCGAGAGGAACACCAGUGGCGAAGGCGAGUCCCUGGACAUUUCCUGACGCUGAGGCACGAAAGCUAGGGGAGCAAACAGG